CCAGGGGCCCCAUCCUACCUUCUCCGAGUGCUUAGAAAACGAGAAUCUUUUGUGGGAGGCAUGAGUGGGAAAGGCAAAGUCCAAAAGGACCUCUCCUACUCAAUGCCCAUUUCUCCUAAUAAGCACUUUCAUCUCUACUGUAAACCCACCAGUUUGUUUGUCCUGUCAUUCGAAUACACGAAGGCUGUCUGUCUUUAGGCAUGUUGUUUUGUGCUUUGUCGGAUGCAGCUUGGUGUUUUGCUCUGAGCAUUAGUUUAUUAGUUAGGGAAGUUACAGAUAUCAGUGAAAAUGAAAAUAUAUAAUGGAGGGAAUAAGGAGGAGCAACCAUGUUAAGAUGGAGAGCUGGAGUGGCUUCCUCUGCUUCAAGGGCUUCAAGCACUCACUUCUGAAACUUACUUCACACCUCAGCCUCAAGGCCAAAGGGAAUAGGCAAGGGCUUGUGAGUCUCUACAAAGACAUGGAGUCUUGUGGGGAAUAUGCAGACAUACGAGUGAUGUGGGAGAUGGUUCACUCUUCUUGCCCUGCAAACGCCUGCCCUGUCAAGAGAAGCAAGAGGUCUUCUUAUUGGAGAUUUUGUUUUCGGCCAACUUGAACCAUUUUAUUAGUUUUCAGAGAAUUGGUCUGACGGUGAACUUGACAGGCAAGUCUUUUACUUCAUUACGCUUUGAAAAUUGCAGGGCAUGGAAAGCAUACCAUUUUGUUAUGUAAAUAUAAGCUUCUGAGUAUAGACUGUAAUUUUCUUUGGACUUCCAUUGAUCCAACAGAGAUGCUUAGGCAUCAAAUCCCUCCACAACAGAGAUGCUUAGGCAUCAAAUCCCUCCACACAACCUAUCAGUAGGUUGAAAAUACCAGACAAAGGAUAAGUUUAUUCCAAUAUGUUAAUACAAGACAGCUGAGAUCUUUGUGUGUCA